UAAACCAGGAUUAGAUACCCUAUUAUUCUAAAAUAUAAAAGGGUAGUAUUAGACAAAUUCUUCAAACCCAAAGAAUUUGGCGGUGUUUUUUAUAAUUAGAGGAACCUGUUUAUUAAUCGAUGAUCCACGAAAAUCUUACUUAAAUUAAAAGCUUGUAUACCGUCGUUUGAAGUGACAUUUUUAAAUAUCAUUUGACAUAUAUUUUAUUAAUUUAUAAAAUGUCAGAUCAUGGUGCAGUAAUAUUUAAGAAUAAAUUGGUUACAUUCUAUAAACUUUAGACGUUACAUUUGUAUGAAAAAUAAUUAAAGCUGAAUCUAAAUGUAAUUAUAAACUAUAACUUUAUAAUGAAUAUUUCCAAAACAUGCACAUAUCGCCCGUCACUCUCA
rnacentral:rRNA from 1 species